AAAAGAGAGCAAGAGAGAAGACAGUGGGUGAAGUCCUGGUUCCAGACUCCCCUUUUUGCCGGGAUAUGAUGGAUCUGUCAGCUGGUGCCUAGAGUCCUAGAGAGCUAGAGAUGGAGGGAAAUUCAGAUCAUCUAAACCCUUCAGCCCUUCACUGGACAGAAGAGGAAACUGAGGCUCCAUCUGCAUGACGUUCCCAGAGUCACGGCACAAAUUCAUGGAAGAAGCAGCAGGAAACUCAGUUCUCCAGUCUGGGUCCAAUGUGUGUUUUAGAAAUAUCUCCACAGGGUUAAUGACUCAAUUUUUCAUGCAUGAUUGCUAGUAAUGACAAUCAUGUUAUGUUUGUUUCUGUAGCUUUGGAAAUCACUCCUUCCACUUGAGUUUCAGGUCCCAACUGUCCACACCUGCAGGAGUGAGGUUUUGCUGAGACUGAUAAGGCACUCACAUUUUGUGGGAGUUGAAUUGUCUCUGUAGCCUAGAAUCUAGAUUUUUUUCCCUCCUCUGCUCUCAGUGAACGGAGAAUUCCAUCUCGGUACAAUCUGUGAACCAUUCUGCAGUAAGAUUGUCAUCGUCUCAUUCAUACUACCUGGUCGGUAACACAAAGGGCUGUAAUUGAUGUGGUUCAGAGACUCACAUCCAAGCAAUAAAAAUGAAUCCCUUAUGGUGGUCUGCAGCAACGCAAA
rnacentral:lncRNA from 1 species